rnacentral:rRNA from 1 species
AUGAGGGCAGCGUGGAACCCGGCGCAACCAGUGAAAUUCAAGCCGAAGGGGGCCAACCUGUUCGUCGUGCAGGCAUCUUGUCUAGGCGACUGGGAAAUAAUUAUGUACCAAGGACCGUGGUUGUUCAGAUUUUGGGCGGUGCUGCUGCAUCCUUACGAUGGUUUCAGUCGAGUUGAAGACAUGCAGCUGGUUCAUAUGCCGAUAUGGCUACAGAUUCAUAAGCUGCCGGAAGGAUAUUGCAGCAAGGAAAUUGUGGAAAAGCUCAUCCGUAAGGCUGGAGAAAUUAUGGAAUUCAGGCUUGUUGGGAACACCAGAGGUAACUAUGUGCGAAUCAAGGUCAAACAUGAUGUUAGAGAACCCCUUACAAAAUAUGUCAAUAUUAUCAAGGGGAAGGACAGGCAGGUGUUUGUUGUGAGAUACCAGAAACUUGCUCGCUUCUGUAAGUUUUGUGGGAGAAUUGGUCAUGAGUUUAAGGCGUGUGGCUCAGGUGUAUACACUGCAAAGGAUCUGAAAUUUGGUGACUGGUUAUAUGCGGAUCCACCUAAUAUGUACAAGGCUGAGAGUCAUGGGACUGGAAGUACUGCUGCGGCUGCAUCUGCUGCUAAUGGUAGUGAGGAAUUGCAUGAUACUAGGACUACCCCAAUUAAGAAUCUUCAUGUUGUUAACGGGCUGGUUGAUUAG